rnacentral:rRNA from 1 species
AUUGAACGCUGGCGGCAGGCCUAACACAUGCAAGUCGAGCGGAUGACGGGAGCUUGCUCCUUGAUUCAGCGGCGGACGGGUGAGUAAUGCCUAGGAAUCUGCCUGGUAGUGGGGGACAACGUUUCGAAAGGAACGCUAAUACCGCAUACGUCCUACGGGAGAAAGCAGGGGACCUUCGGGCCUUGCGCUAUCAGAUGAGCCUAGGUCGGAUGAGCUAGUUGGUGGGGUAAUGGCUCACCAAGGCGACGAUCCGUAACUGGUCUGAGAGGAUAAUCAGUCACACUGGAACUGAGACACGGUCCAGACUCCUACGGGAGGCAGCAGUGGGGAAUAUUGGACAAUGGGCGAAAGCCUGAUCCAGCCAUGCCGCGUGUGUGAAGAAGGUCUUCGGAUUGUAAAGCACUUUAAGUUGGGAGGAAGGGCAGUAAGCUAAUACCUUGCUGUUUUGACGUUACCGACAGAAUAAGCACCGGCUAACUCUGUGCCAGCAGCCGCCGUAAUAC